rnacentral:tRNA from 1 species
GGAGAGAUGUCUGAGUGAACGAAAGCGGCGGAUUGCUAUUCCGUUGUACGAGUUAAUGGUACUGAGGGUUCAAAUCCAUCUCUUUCCG